UUACCUCCGAAGUUUCCCUCAGGAUAGCUGGUUCCGCACGGAACGCGCGCAAGUAUCAUCUGGUAAAGCGAAUAAUUAAAGGUCUUGGGUCCGAAACGACCUCAACCUAUUUUCAAACUUUAAAAUGGUGAAACCUCUAACUUUUUUGAACUAUGAAGUCAUGAAUAUCUCGGAUCAGAAUGUCAAGUGGGCUAUUUUUGGUAAGCAGAACUAGCGCUGUGGAAUGAACCAAACGCAGAUUUAAGGCGCCCAACUCGAUGCUUAUGGGACACUAUGAAAAGUGUUGGUUGCUUAAGAUAGUAGGGCGAUGGCCAAGAUGGAAUUUUAAGGAAUGUAUAACAACUCACCUGCCGAAGCAAUUAGCCCUGAAAAUGGAUCGCGCUGAAGCGUCGAGCCUAUAUUCGGCCGCGUGCGGGCUCGUCGCGUACGUCGCCACGAAGCUUUGACGAAUAGGAGAGUCACGGUGGUGUGCGCAGAAAGGUCUGAGCGUGAGUCUGCCUGGAGCUGCCGUCGAUG
rnacentral:ncRNA from 1 species